rnacentral:rRNA from 1 species
GGUUGCGAUCAUACCAGCACUAAUGCACCGGAUCCCAUUAGAACUCCGCAGUUAAGCGUGCUUGGGCGAGAGUAGUACUAGGAUGGGUGACCCCCUGGGAAGUCCUCGUGUUGCAACCC